UUAGUUCGCCCCCCCGAAACUAAGCGAGCUACUUCAAAACAGCUUUAAGAGCCAACCCGUCUCUGUGGCAAUAGAGUGGGAAGAUUUUCUAGUAGAGGUGACAAACCUACCGAGCUUAGAAAUAGCUGGUUACUCAGGAAAAGAAUUUUAGUUCUGCCUUAAAUCUCCCACCGCGUCAUAGAACAAGCCAAAGAUUUAAGAGUUACUCAAUUAAGGCACAGCUUACUUGAAACAGGAUACAACCUAAACAAGGGGGUAAAAGCCCGCCACCAUGCACAGUAGGCCUAAGAGCAGCCACCUCUAAAAAGCGUCAAAGCUUAAUAUAACAUUCCCCUUCCUCCCACUAAUAGCCAUGAACCCCUACCCCCCACUGAGUGAUACUAUAAGCAUAUAGUAAGCACCAUGCUAGGACUAGUAACAAGAAUACACAAUUCUCCGAAAUGUGAAUAUAAGCCAGAAUGAACACCUCACCGGCAGCUAACGGAAAUGAGUCAACUACAGCAACAUCAACAAGAAAACCCUGUAAUUACCCCCCGUUAACCUAACACCAGAACAUUCCAGGAAAGAUUAACAGAGGGGGAAGGAACUCGGCAAACCCCAACCCCGCCUGUUUACCAAAAACAUCGCCUCUUGACCACAUAAGAGGUCUAGCCUGCCCAGUGAAAAUUCAACGGCCGCGGUACCCUAACCGUGCAAAGGUAGCAUAAUCACUUGUUCUUUAAAUGGGGACUCGUAUCAACGGCAUCACGAGGGUUGCACUGUCUCCCCCCUCUAAUCAGUGAAACUGAUCUCCCCGUGAAGAAGCGGGGGUACAACUAUAAGACGAGAAGACCCCAUGGAGCUUAAAACCUACAGCAACUCAACUCCCUCCACCCCCCCACAGCCCAAAGAAACAUGCGUGACGGUUUUAGGUUGGGGCGACCGCGGAGUAAAAACCAACCUCCACGACGAAAAGAACUAAAUCUUUAUCCCAGAGCCACCUCUCCAAGAAUUAGCACACUAACGAACAUGACCCGACUAUCGAUCAACGAACCAAGUUACCCUGGGGAUAACAGCGCAAUCUACUUCAAGAGCCCCUAUCGACAAGUAGGCUUACGACCUCGAUGUUGGAUCAGGGUACCCCAGAGG
rnacentral:misc_RNA from 1 species